CUACUACAUGCAAGUCGAACGCACUGACGUCGACUGCAAGCUGCUUGCAGUGGACGUUGAUUGACGUGAGUGGCGGACGGGUGAGUAACACGUGGGUAACCUACCCUUAAGUGGGGGAUAACAUUUGGAAACAGAUGCUAAUACCGCAUAACCAUUCAGACCACAUGGUCUGAAUGUAAAAGACGGCCUUUGGCUGUCACUUUUGGAUGGACCCGCGGCGUAUUAGUUAGUUGGUAAGGUAACGGCUUACCAAGGCAAUGAUACGUAGCCGACCUGAGAGGGUAAUCGGCCACAUUGGGACUGAGACACGGCCCAAACUCCUACGGGAGGCAGCAGUAGGGAAUCUUCCACAAUGGACGAAAGUCUGAUGGAGCAACGCCGCGUGAGUGAAGAAGGUUUUAGGAUCGUAAAACUCUGUUGUUGGAGAAGAACAGGGACUAGAGUAACUGUUAGUCCUUUGACGGUAUCCAACCAGAAAGCCACGGCUAACUACGUGCCAGCAGCCGCGGUAAUACGUAGGUGGCAAGCGUUGUCCGGAUUUAUUGGGCGUAAAGCGAGCGCAGGCGGUUUUUUAAGUCUGAUGUGAAAGCCUUCGGCUUAACCGAAGAAGUGCAUUAGAAACUGGGAAACUUGAGUGCAGAAGAGGACAGUGGAACUCCAUGUGUAGCGGUGAAAUGCGUAGAUAUAUGGAAGAACACCAGUGGCGAAGGCGGCUGUCUGGUCUGUAACUGACGCUGAGCUCGAAAGUAUGGGGAGCGAACAGGAUUAGAUACCCUGGUAGUCCAUAACCGUAAACGAUGAAUGCUAAGUGUUGAGGUUUCCGCCCUUCGUGCUGCAGCUAACGCAUUAAGCAUUCCGCCUGGGGAGUACGAACGCAAAGGUUGAAACUCCAACGAAAUGA
rnacentral:rRNA from 2 species